AUGUUGGCAUUCGCCAUCAGGACCAUGGUGAAGCCGCUGGGCUUCCUCAAGCCCUCCUCCCUGAGGAAGGUCGCCAGCCGCUUCAAGGCACACCAGGAGUCUCUGCCACGGCUGCCCGUGUCCCCGCUGCAGCAGACCCUGGACCAUUACCUGAAGACCCUGCAGCCCAUGGUGAGCGAGGAGGAAUGGGCCCACACCAAGAAGCUGGUGGAAGAGUUUCAGGCUGCAGGGGCCGUGGGAGAGCGCCUGCAGAAGGGGCUGGAGCGCAGGGCCAAGAAGAUGGAGAACUGGCUGUCCCAGUGGUGGCUCAAGAUGGCCUACCUCCAGUUCCGCCAGCCCCUGGUCAUCUACUCCAGCCCCGGCCUAGUGCUGCCCAGGCAGGACUUUGUGGAUCUGCAGGGACAACUCCGGUUUGCUGCCAAAUUCAUCGAGGGUGUGCUGGAUUUCAAGGCCAUGGUUGACAAUGAGACCCUUCCCGUGGAGUACUUGGGCAGGAAGCCGCUGUGCAUGAACCAGUACAAUCAGAUCCUGUUCUCCUGCCGCGUGCCAGGCCCCAAGCAGGACUCGGUCAUCAACUUCAGCAAGACCAAGAAGCCGCCCAUGCACAUCACAGUGGUGCACAACUACCAGUUCUUUGAGCUGGACGUGUACCACAGCGACGGGACACCCCUCACCUCGGACCAGCUCUUCGUGCAGCCGGAGAAGAUCUGGAACUCGUCGCUGCAGACCAACAAAGAGCCCGUGGGCAUCCUCACCUCCAACCACCGCAACUCCUGGGCCAAGGCCUACAACACCCUCAUCACAGACAAGGUGAACCGAGAGUCGGUGCGCUCCAUCCAGAAGAGCAUCUUCACCGUGUGCCUGGACACAGUCAUACCUCGGGUCUCAGAAGACAUGUACCGCAGCCAGGUGGCCGGCCAGAUGCUGCACGGGGGCGGCAGCGAGCUCAACAGCGGCAACCGCUGGUUCGACAAGACACUGCAGUUCAUCGGGGCAGAAGAUGGCUUCUGUGGGCUCAUUUACGAGCACGCAGCAGCAGAGGGGCCGCCCAUCAUCUCCCUCGUGGACCACGUCAUCGAGUACACGAAGAAGGCUGAGGUCGUGCGGUCUCCCAUGGUACCCCUGCCCAUGCCCAAGAAGCUUCGGUUCAACAUCACCCCCGAAAUCAAUAACGACAUUGAGAAGGCCAAGCAGAAUCUUAGCAUCAUGAUCCAGGACCUGGACAUGAUUGUGACCGUGUUCCACCACUUUGGGAAGGACUUCCCCAAGUCAGAGAAGCUGAGCCCUGACACCUUCAUCCAGAUGGCACUGCAGCUGGCCUACUACAGGGUCUACGGGCAGGCAUGUGCCACGUACGAAAGCGCCUCCCUGCUCAUGUUUCACCUGGGCCGUACUGACACCAUCCACUCAGCAUCCACGGAAUCACUGACCUUUGUCAAAGCCAUGGAUGACUCCAAUGUGACGGAGCAUCAGAAGGUGGAGCUGCUGCGGAAGGCCAUGGACGCCCACCGCGCCUACACCAACCAGGCCAUCCGUGGGGAGGCCUUGGACCGGCACCUGCUGGGCCUGAAGCUGCAGGCCAUCGAGGACCUGGUGAGCAUGCCUGACAUCUUCAUGGACACCUCCUACGCCAUCGCCAUGCACUUCAACCUCUCCACCAGCCAGGUCCCCUCCAAGACAGACUGCGUCAUGGGCUGUGCUCAGAGGCUGAGCAGGACAGAGGCCCAGGCGCCCCAUGUAUCGCCCAGAGCAGCCUUCCUCUGGGAAAGGAACCAGUCAACUCCAUCCCUACCAGUGAGCCUGGGAAGUCCUUCUCUGAUAGCUCAGCUCUGGCCAGUCCCUGCCAUCUGGGCUGAUCUGUACUCCAAUCCUCAAACGCCCAAAGGCCUGAAGACAGGACUAUCUGGAGUGGGGGACUCCAGGCCUCCCCACGGCCGAGGCCAGGGUGCGAGGCGGACUGGGGACGGGGCAUCUCCCACAGGACAGCUGUACUCUUUUGGAGAAUAUGGCUGAACAAUGUUCCUGGUUGUA